GCAACUGCGAUGUCUGUGGACUGUCUUGGGCAGCAUGCAGUGCUUUCUGGACGGAGUCUCUCUGUCACCCAGGCUGGAGUGCAGUGGCAUGAUCUCUGCUCACUACAACCUCUGCCUCCCGGGUUCAAGCAAUUCUGCCUCAACCUCCCGAGUAGCUGGGACUACAGGUGCACGCUGCCAUGCCUGGCUAAUUUUUUGUAUUUUAGUAGAAACGGGGUUUCACCAUGUUGCCCAGGCUGGUCUUGAUCUCCUGAACUCAGACAAUCCACCCACCUCGGCCUCCCAAAGUGCUAGGAUUACAGGCAUGAGCCACCGUACCUGGCCAUAUCUUUAUAAUAGAGUAAUUUAGAUUCCUCUGGGUACAUACCCUAUAAUGGGAUUGCUGGGUCAAAUGGUAUUUCUGCCUCUAGGUCUUUCAGGAAUCUCUCACCUCUCCUACUCAACAUAGUAUUGAAAGUUCUGGCCAGGGCAAUCAGGC
rnacentral:lncRNA from 10 species